CCUACGGGAGGCAGCAGUGAGGAAUAUUGGUCAAUGGGCGCGAGCCUGAACCAGCCAAGUAGCGUGAAGGAUGACUGCCCUACGGGUUGUAAACUUCUUUUGUAAGGGGAUAAAGUGAGGCACGUGUACCUUUUUGUAUGUACUUUAUGAAUAAGGAUCGGCUAACUCCGUGCCAGCAGCCGCGGUAAUACGGAGGAUCCGAGCGUUAUCCGGAUUUAUUGGGUUUAAAGGGAGCGUAGAUGGGUUGUUAAGUCAGUUGUGAAAGUUUGCGGCUCAACCGUAAAAUUGCAAUUGAUACUGGCAGUCUUGAGUACAGUUGAGGUAGGCGGAAUGCGUGGUGUAGCGGUGAAAUGCUUAGAUAUCACGAAGAACUCCGAUUGCGAAGGCAGCUUACUAAGCUGCCACUGACAUUGAGGCUCGAAAGUGUGGGUAGCAAACAGGAUUAGAUACCCUAGUAGUC
rnacentral:rRNA from 1 species